GUGCGCGCGCGUUUAAAAACGUUUUAUGGUCGACCCGGACGCGAAAAACUGCUCGCGUGCGGGCGACACGUGCGGCGGCCCUCUGAAACGCGCCGAGUCGAGUCUUCGUUUUUCACCCGAGCUCGCGCCGGACCCGGCAAAUGUUACCUCCGGACAACGUUACGCGGGGUCAAGAUUUUCCCGGGGGUAAUGCGUAAUUUAACUUGUGCCGUGUUUUUGACAGACACACGUGGUCUUAGUAUAUUUUAGGUCUUAUACAAUAUACACCAUACCGCCCCCUCUCGCGGAAUAAUAUUCUUGGGUAAUGCUUACCGGGGGUAAUAUACUUGUCUGGGGUAUUCUUGGCUUUCCGCGGGGUUGCGAGUGUCCCGGGAAUAUUUUACCCGAGGUAAGAUUUGCCCGUUACACCGGCAUUACAGACGUAACAAAAACAGAGGAUUCAGAGGAGUUACAAUUCUCACAUUCAUAACGGCUCUGACCGCGAAAUGCAAAUUUCUAACAGGUAUUGUACUGCAAAACGAUUGACGCGCAUUUUUUUUUUUUUUUUUUAUAUAUAUAUUACUUACUAACUCGCGUACAGCGUUCGAAAAUUGUACUGUAUAAGUCAUUGAGCCGCUAGAGGGAGAGGUGGAGGGAGAAUUUUAAAAACACGCCAUCAUUUUUACUGUUUUUUUUUUUUUUUCUAAAUGCGUUUUCAAGGCUUUUCCGUCGCUUUUUCGUGGAUUUUAAGCGGCCGAGCCCUAAUUAUAUUAUUAUUCGUACGUUACGGACGCACCGACCUCGCCUUCGACGACGACGACAACGACGAUAAUAACAAUAAUACGGCGUACCGCUAAUAGAACGCGGGACACAACAAUGGUGAAUAUUUUAUUAUUAUUAUUAUUAUUAUUAUUAUACUUGGCCGUAAUGUAUACUUUUGACAUUUUCGUCACGAGGCGUAAACGCAAGGACGUUCACCCGUUUGACGCCGCGCGCGGAGUUCGACAUUUUCUGCGUUGUUAUUAUUAUUAUUAUUAUUAUUAUUUUUUUUUUUUCUACAAUCGUUAUAAUAUCG